GAGAACCACUGGUUAUAUGAUUAGACAGAAAGAAAAAGAUAAAAAGAAAGAUGCCUGGCUAGGCCAAUUAGAGAUCUUAGAUAAUUACCAUAUGCAUGCAACAUUAGAUGGUUUUAUUUUCGUUAAACUUUUAAAUCUUCUAAAAUCUCUUACCUACCCUACUUUGAAGCUAGCUUGAUAUAAUGCUAAUGUGACCUUGAACGAUUUCUUUCUUCCUGAGUUUGCCUACUAGUAUAGCUCAAAGAUCCAAGUUACACUAUUACUCACUUAUAUCAUAGCCAGCAUUGCUUGAUCAGAUUAUCAGAUAGAUACAGUAUCACUGAGACAAAAUCCUCUCAUUAUGAUGUAAGAUAAAAAAUAUCUUUCAUUAAUAACACAUCUAACGGAAGUACCCAUUGGACCAGCUCAGGUUAGAAGGUGGAAUCUCUUUCCUAUUUCUUAUUUUGCAAGUUACAGACAACAGCCAGGAAACUCUGGAAAGAACUCUAACCAUAACAGUUAAUCAAGGGUACCAGACCAGAAGAUCAGAUCGUAGAAGUUACUGGAGAAAAAGAUCAGCGGACAGCACUCUUGAACUACAUGCCAGGCCUCUUCUUCCUGGAACUCUAAUGGAUUUAAAUGGCUUAAGAGACGGGAUGAAUUGUUGAAAAUGGUUCUUUCAAAAGACCUCACGGAAGGCCAAAGACAAGACUCACUGAGGCCAAGCUGAUCAAUGAUAUCUAUAAGUUGACGCAUUCUAAUCAAGUGGCGAUCUUGACCUUGGGAGCUUGAUUUGUGGACCAGUGUCCCCAAGAAGAUGACCAUCAGACAGAUGACAAUCCUCUCCAUGUUGCCAGGACUGGAUCUCAUAAGUACCAACAGUAGAGCUAGACCUUGGUCUCGUUUUCACUUCAGCUUGACUGAGAACAGGUAUACGUGUGCAUGUGCUAAUGUGUGGGGGCAGGGAUUGAUGGAGUCAACGAAAUGUGCCCCAUCUGCAUCUUUGACAGGAAAAAGAGAGAAUGGGUGAAUUCCAAUUUUCAGCAUGAAUCAAGAAUGUCACCGAUGAAGUUUUUGAAUGCUGUGCUCCUAAUCUCAUUUUCCUCCUCCAGAGACUUCGGUGAAGGGUGAUGCAAACCGUGUUUCUUCAGCAUAUCUUGGCUCCAACAUGGGAUACUCAGCAGUGAGGCUAGAGAUCAGAUGUCCUUCAUUCCUUGACCACUAAGCCUAGAGGAUGGAGAGAAAGAACUGGAACAUCUGCACUCUUCAACCUGAGUCCACUCCAACUCCAUACCACAAGGGCGACAGGUGGCUAUAGCACCCUUUGUCUUGGCCCUGCAGCCACCAACACACAACCAUAAAAAUAAAGUAGUCCAUUUAUUAGC